CUCAUUUGUAGCAUUGGGUUUCUCCCAUUUAACAAAUACAACCAGUGCUUCUGUUCUAGCUCCCUGAGUGUCUGCUUUUCCUUCCAGUUCAUGGGUGCUUCAGAAUGUGUGGUCAAAAGCAGCCCUCAGAUCAGAGACCUCGACCCCUCUCCUGCCUCAGGACAGCAAACUCAACCAGCCUCCAAGACGGGGCCUUUCUUCAGUAGCAGCAGCACAUAAAUCAUACAUCAGUCAUCCAGUGAUACAAAGAGGUGGCCAAUUGUGUCUGAAGUAGUCACUUGUAAAGGAUCACAACCCAGGCAGUGUUGCUUUUCUGCAAACAGAAGGAAACAGAAGGCUCCAUGGUCCUUGAAGAUUAUCCAAGUUUUCCACUAGUUGUCAAGAUUUCUGUCCCAACCUCUUAGUCACCAUUUACAGCAAGAAGAGCCAGCAAGUGAAAAACUGUUAAUUUAUUGAUUCAAAGUUGUUUUUUUUCUUUUUAAAAAACAAUCCCCAAUACAUGCAGUUCAGGGUUAAGUAUCACAUUUGUAGCACAUUGUUGAGUCUCAAAACAAAAAUAUGCAUCACCUGUAUAAUCCCAUCACAUCUUUUUCCAGCCUCUACAAUACCUAGUUGGGGGUGUUUUCAUUUAUACAUCCACAUAGCUCAGAAGCAUGUUAUUAACGGUUGAUCUGGCCCGAUGCUUCUCCGCCACCUCCCCUGCCCUGGUCUCCACCUCGGGGUUAUUUUUUUCUAAAGGCAGGAUGUUACUCAGUCUUAAUUUAUUAAGAUCACUGACAAACUUUGGCUUCUUGUGUGCUCAUGUGGUCCCUGCUUUUGCUUUCGGAAGGGUUUAUAUUGAAACGACUGUGACUCUGAUCGGUUAUUAUCCCCUCAUUUUUUGUAGGAAAUAAGUUUGCUUGUUUCUGUGGGUGCUCACACAGUAACACAGGUUCCUAAAGUAACCAUUUAAUCUGAACUGGUAUUAAAGGAAACUGUUAACCAGGCUCUCUUAGAUCUAUUUCAGUUCAUAUAAAAAAACUCUUCCAAUUGUUGCUUGUGUCUCAAAGUAGUUCUGCUUCCAUCCUUAUCAACAGAGCACCUGGGAGAACCUAAGUCAUUUCCCUGAGUAGGCACAGACCACGAGCCCCGCGGCACCCAGCUCUCUCUGGGACUAAGCGCCUGACUCGAGAGCACCACCUUUCAGUCCACUGGGACCAAUCCAGUGGGCAGCGCCCUCCCCAGGGUACAUUCCAGAACAUAAACUUGGUACCCUCUAAUUUAUCCCCUCAAGAAGUUAAUUUCCUCCUCAAGAGCUACCUUUAGAUGGAUUUUCUUAUUGGUCCCUUUUCUUUUAACAGCCCUUCCCCUAGCCACUCUCUUCAAGUCCCCAAGGAUUACGAGUUUGUCUGUCUCCUCUAAUCUAUCAGUCUGAGAGCACCUUCCUCUCUGCAAGGGAACACAUUUGCUUUAAACCUUGUGAGUGCUGACAUGUUACAGAAUGUCUGGGAGGAGGCCUGGCUGAGUGACUGGUGUUUAAGUGCCUCAAUGAACGACAUCAGCGCUUCUCUAGUUGGUGAGAAGGCCCAGGAAAGCUUGGUCUGCGUCAUACACUCAAUAGCUUCUCCUACCCAGCCACCUACCCUGCCUACAGGGAUAGGAUGAAAGCAAGGCCAGCUGACAGCAUCCAGGGGAGAGUGAACUGCCACCACACCAGAGGUGCAAAUGUGACUCAGCACUUCAUGAGUUCUACUCUCACCAUGGGAUUUCUCAGCAGAAGCAAACCUUGCAGUCAGGCUCACUUGUAGCCAACAAAUGAUAUAGCCAUCUGGAUUUGGCAUAGGAACCUUUUGUUCUCACCAUACCAGGUCUAUGUUCUUGAACAUAGGCAGUACCUGAGAUGAUAGUAUAACACUACCCUGUUCCCCACAUUUUUUGCUUUUCUUUAGGAAAUAAUUAAGUCCUUAUCAUAGGCACUUUUAACCUGUUUAAGAUAAUGAAGCAAACAAAUGAAAAGUACUGAGAUGAGUUUAAGAAAGAAUAUGCUAACUGAAAAGGAUACUGGGUGCGUACAUUUACCAUGGUUUAGUCUAAAUAUUAGACACACAGACACACACACAGACACACACACAGACACACACACAGACACACACACAGACACACACACACCCCUUUUGGAACUCUCCAAGACCAUCUCCGAAUCUAGGUAAAUAGUCUUAAAAUUUCGGGGGAGCUAGGUUUGGAAACAAAAAUGGUUUUUGGAGACAGGAAAAGAGAUGGUCUGAAACUGGACUCACUUCAGUUUGGAAAGGAAUAGCCUAGGUGCCAAGACCAGACCCAGGAAGGGGUGAGCAUUUCAAGCCCAGUUAUGGUCUAAGUCUAAGGCAUGAAGAGAGGUAAAAGUCUAGGUGCUGGAAAAGCAAGCUGUGUGCUUCAAAGGAAGAAUGCCUGUGUCAAAGCUGCAGUUACAAAACCCCAGGACAAGGCAGGCAGGCGGUGUCUGCACCUACAUCACCGUCAGAGAGACAGGCAGAGGUCAAUCACCUGACUAUUCUCCUCCAGGUACUUUUAUUACCUUUGGGGGACCCAAGGGAAAGGAAUGGAGUUACCGCUUCACCAAGACCCUCCAGUAGGCACCUCUUGCCUGGUCCAGACAGGCAACUUAAAAAAAAAAAGGGAGGGCUGAGGAGUGGGGUGGGGUGAUAAAGGAGAUUGGAGGGGGAGCAGGAAAGACACGCAGUGGCACAUCUCCCUGAUGAUAACCAAUGCUUCAGGAUUGCCUAUAAGGGCAUAUUAGAAGGCUUUUGAUAAUCUCAAACACUGAGUUUUGCUGCCUGACAUAUCAAUACAGGUUUAGCCAAAGAGCUCACAUCUUGCUUUUGAUUUUCAGGUAGAACAAAUGUUUACAUUAGUAUACAGAAUGUGCAAUGCAAGCAGGCAGCAUUGGUAUGAGAACCUUAACUGAAUGCAUUCCUUGGCUUUGGGAUCUUAUUUAUUUUUUACUCUAUAAACUCAACUCUAUAAUAAGAGAAGAGUUUCAUUUGUAUUUUAAGUUCCCACAGACCAAACGACAAAAAUAGAAUCUACAUUUAGAGUAGGAUCUGCUACCAAUACCAAUAAGAUUUUAUUGGAAUAUGGAAUGUAAACAAAUGUUUCAAACAAACAUCUAACCUUAUAAAAAUGUAUGGCAUUAUUAAAUAGUUAAUAAAGAAAUCUUAAAGGGUGAUGUGGUAGACACCUCUAGUUCUAGCCUAGGUGUGUGAAGUCCCCACAGCUGUGGCAUGGCCCUGCAGCUGGGGUGAGGGGACUGCCUACAAACCAUGUUGCUCCUGAGUCCCCAAAAUGAAAUCAGCCCUAUUUUUGUUUAAACAAACUCUAGCUUUCUCUGCUAACAUGAAGGUUUGCAAAAUGGAUCCAACACUUGCUCCGGGAGCACCAUUUUCUUCCCCAAGCCCCUUGUAUAUUCCUCUGAGUUGCUUGAGUUUCAGAUGACCCUGCCCACACAACUCUAGUACCUGCAUGCAAGACAGACUUAUCUUUGCCAUCACAUAAAUGUAUCACAUAUCAGAACUUACAAAUGCAUAUUACCCUGAUUACAGUGGGAAACUGUGUCUCAUGGGGAUAAAAGGAGGUGGGAGAGAGAUAUUUUUUUCCAUAAGUCUUUCCUGAAAAAAUUCUAAUGGGAUGUUUUCCUCCCUCGCCUUGCCUGAAGACUGACUUUCCAGCUUUAGUUAUGGUUGUGAACAAAAAGGUCUCUGUUUCAGAGAGGUGCAUUAAAAUAGGCGCACACAUAGGGAUGUGCUGGGAAAUGGUGAAGUUCUCCUUACAAGGCUGCCAAAAAAAAAAAAAAAAAAAAAAAAGAAAAAGCAACAAAAAA
rnacentral:lncRNA from 1 species